rnacentral:tRNA from 1 species
GCCCCAGUGGCCUAAUGGAUAAAGCACUGGCCUCCUAAGCCAGGGAUUGUGGGUUCGUGUCCCAUCUGGGGUG